rnacentral:rRNA from 1 species
GUAGGGACCAAGCGUUGUCCGGAUUUAUUGGGCGUAAAGCGCUCGUAGGCGGUUCGGUAAGUCGGGUGUGAAACCCCUGGGCUCAACCCGGGGACGCCACCCGAUACUGCUGUGACUCGAGUUCGGUUGGGGAGCGGGGAAUUCCUGGUGUAGCGGUGAAAUGCGCAGAUAUCAGGAGGAACACCGGUGGCGAAGGCGCCGCUCUGGGCCGAUACUGACGCUGAGGAGCGAAAGCGUGGGGAGCAAACAGGAUUAGAUACCCUGGUAGUCCACGCCGUAAACGUUGGGCACUAGGUGUGGGUCCUUAUCAACGGGAUCCGUGCCGUCGCUAACGCAUUAAGUGCCCCGCCUGGGGAGUACGGCCGCAAGGCUA